GGCGGGGCUUCCUUACCGCGACCCCUGGCGAGAGCAGUGGGUGGUGGGAGGACUAGAAACGUUCGUUCAGUUGGCAGGAUACACCGGGACACUUCUUUGGAUACGAAAAGAUGUAUUUAAACUUUUUCUUAGGUCCCUCGAAGAUUACCAAGAAACCCAGGCUUUUCAAAAAUCACCUGUUUCUUUUAAAAAUUCAUUUACAUAGUCGGUCUCGCUAAGCAGUCCUGGCUAGCCUUGAGCUCAGCGAUCCAGCCGGUCCGCCUUCAGUGUGAUAGGAUUAUUGGCCCGAGCACCAGGUCCAAUUCUUUCUUUCUUUCUUUCUUUCUUUCUUUCUUUCUUUCUUUCUUUCUUUCUUUCUUUCUUUCUUUCUUUCUUCCUUCCUUCCUUCCUUCCUUCCUUUCUUUCUUUCUUUCUUUCUUUCUUUCUUUCUUUCUCUCUUUAGCCUCUUCUGCAAAUUGUACUUAUCAAUGUCCUUCAAGAGAGGGUUCUUAGCCGGGCGUGGUGGCACACGCCUUUAAUCCUAGCACUUGGGAGGCAGAGGCAGGAGGAUUUCUGAGUUCAAGGCCAGCCUGGUCUACAGAGUGAGUUCCAGGACAGCCUGGUCUACACAGAGAAAUCCUGCCUCGGAAAAAAGAGAGAGAGAGAGGGUUCUCUGAGGCUCAAAUUGGACAUCCCCAUCUUGAAUCAGAGCAGCUGUUGACCAACCACAGAGCCUCUGGAAGUCAGGCCUAUCAGCAUUCCUGCAUGGAAGACUGAGGAAAGCUCCUCCCAGAAGCUGUAUCAGCAGUGAAUGAUGACUGGGAAGAGAGAUUGCUGGUACCAUAGGCUGCCUUUGACUCGCCCAAGGCCCUGAAACAUCACACAACAGAGCUGAAAUUUCCUAUUGCCUAAUGACAAUGUGGCCGGGACAUCAUCUCAGCAUAAUGCAUUCCUCACACGUUCGUGGCAAUGGUCUCCGGUGUAAACAAGCCUGCCCUUCAGCCGGCCAGAGAGAACACACAGUACUGUACAGUACAUAAUACUUGAUAACUAAAUGACUAUAUAUUUACUAUUAUUGUUUUAGAGUAUAGGGGUUUUUUUAAGAUAUUUUACUGUGUGUCUUAGUUUGCUUUUAUAAAUGUAAUAAAACACUAACCAAAACC
rnacentral:lncRNA from 1 species